rnacentral:rRNA from 1 species
UCCCUCCCGACUGUUUACCAAAAACACAGCACUUUGCCAACUCGUAAGAGGAAGUAUAAGGUGUGACGCCUGCCCGGUGCUCGAAGGUUAAGAGGAUGCGUCAGUCGCAAGAUGAAGCGUUGAAUUGAAGCCCGAGUAAACGGCGGCCGUAACUAUAACGGUCCUAAGGUAGCGAAAUUCCUUGUCGGUUAAAUACCGACCUGCAUGAAUGGCGUAACGAGAUGGGAGCUGUCUCAACCAGAGAUUCAGUGAAAUUGUAGUGGAGGUGAAAAUUCCUCCUACCCGCGGCAAGACGGAAAGACCCCGUGGACCUUUACUACAACUUAGCACUGCUAAUGGGAAUAUCAUGCGCAGGAUAGGUGGGAGGCUUUGAAGUAA